CUUCAAUAUCCUUUUCCACCAGAGUCUUCUAAAAGUUGCCAAAAGCAUUGUGGAGAAGCUCAUUUUGAUCUGGGUUGUUUGCUGAGCGCAGCUGGUUCAGAACUCAUAGGACUCCUUAAGCCGCCCUUGGACCCUUGGAUCUGGCCUCUGCACGCAGGCUUUCUUCAAGCACACUGGUGCUUGGACUGAACUUUAUAGACAAAAUUCUGGCGCCCAAAGCAACCUAAACCAAAUGAGAAAGCCAAGGAUAAAAAAUUGUUAAGUGAAUUGUUUAAAUUUAAUGGUACCAAAGAAGAGAG